CAAACAUGUCACAGUAAUCAAUACCAUCUGUGUUAAGAUGUCGGGAAUGUGUUAGACGAAUGAUUUUGUUUUAUGGAGCUUUGAAGAGCGAUGAAUGGCACUAAAGUGGUGCCAAAUGGAUAUCUCAAACACCCAUUGUUGAUGUGUGAUGCUGAUAAUACAGAGACAGCUAGAGUGACAGAGUUUGAUGAAUAAACUUAAAUUAAAAAACAGAAAUAACCACCAUCUCUCUCAGAGGUCAUCUUUCUCAUUAUUGUGGGGAAACCUCAAAGGGCAUCAGGAAAACCUUCAUCAACCUCUUUGUGCCCAGUGGCUUGUGCAACAGUGUU